rnacentral:rRNA from 1 species
AGAGUUUGAUCCUGGCUCAGGACGAACGCUGGCGGCGCGCCUAACACAUGCAAGUCGAACGGAGCUUAGAGAGCAUGCUUUUUAAGCUUAGUGGCGAACGGGUGAGUAACGCGUGAGUAACCUGCCCUAGAGUGGGGGACAACAGUUGGAAACGACUGCUAAUACCGCAUAAGCCCACGGUGCCGCAUGACACUGAGGGAAAAGGAUUUAUUCGCUUUAGGAUGGACUCGCGUCCAAUUAGCUAGUUGGUGAGGUAACGGCCCACCAAGGCGACGAUUGGUAGCCGGACUGAGAGGUUGAACGGCCACAUUGGGACUGAGACACGGCCCAGACUCCUACGGGAGGCAGCAGUGGGGGAUAUUGCACAAUGGGGGAAACCCUGAUGCAGCGACGCCGCGUGGAGGAAGAAGGUUUUCGGAUUGUAAACUCCUGUCGUUAGGGACGAUAAUGACGGUACCUAACAAGAAAGCACCGGCUAACUACGUGCCAGCAGCCGCGGUAAAACGUAGGGUGCAAGCGUUGUCCGGAAUUACUGGGUGUAAAGGGAGCGCAGGCGGGAAGACAAGUUGGAAGUGAAAACCAUGGGCUCAACCCAUGAAUUGCUUUCAAAACUGUUUUUCUUGAGUAGUGCAGAGGUAGAUGGAAUUCCCGGUGUAGCGGUGGAAUGCGUAGAUAUCGGGAGGAACACCAGUGGCGAAGGCGGUCUACUGGGCACCAACUGACGCUGAGGCUCGAAAGCAUGGGUAGCAAACAGGAUUAGAUACCCUGGUAGUCCAUGCCGUAAACGAUGAUUACUAGGUGUUGGGGGAUUUGACCCCCUCAGUGCCGCAAGUUUACCACAAUAAGUAAUCCACCUGGGGAGUACGACCGCAAGGUUGAAACUCAAAGGAAUUGACGGGGGCCCGCACAAGCAGUGGAGUAUGUGGUUUAAUUCGAAGCAACGCGAAGAACCUUACCAGGUCUUGGCAUCCGAUGCAUAACACAGAGAUGUGUGAAAUCCUUCGGGACAUCGAGACAGGUGGUGCAUGGUUGUCGUCAGCUCGUGUCGUGAGAUGUUGGGUUAAGUCCCGCAACGAGCGCAACCCUUAUUGCCAGUUACUACGUUAAGAGGACUCUGGCGAGACUGCCGUUGACAAAACGGAGGAAGGUGGGGAUGACGUCAAAUCAUCAUGCCCUUUAUGACCUGGGCUACACACGUACUACAAUGGCGUUAAACAAAGAGAAGCAAGACCGCGAGGUGGAGCAAAACUCAAAAACAACGUCUCAGUUCAGAUUGCAGGCUGCAACUCGCCUGCAUGAAGUCGGAAUUGCCAGUAAUCGCGGAUCAGCAUGCCGCGGUGAAUACGUUCCCGGGCCUUGCACUCACCGCCCGUCA